GUGGAGCGUGAGGAGUUAAACGCCUUCAUGCCUGUAUAUUCGUGCACUUUGGGUGUACUUGCCCGUAUGGUUGGUUAACAUCAAUUUUGGUGGUCAUAAAAUGACUGGAGGAAUGUAGCUUCGAUCUCGUAUUGAAGUGUUAUAGCCUUCGGUAGAUGUGAUGAUCGAGAUUGAGGAUUGCAACGGAUACCCUUCGGGGCUACCUGUCUGAUCUCUGAUCGUUGCUCUGGUACCGAAAGCUUGCUUACGGUUAUCAAAGUCGAUGGUCAAAAGGUUAGAACGGGUUAAA
rnacentral:rRNA from 1 species